GACGAACGCUGGCGGCGUGCUUAACACAUGCAAGUCGAACGGAAAGGCCCUGCUUUUGUGGGGUGCUCGAGUGGCGAACGGAUGAGUAACACGUGAGUAACCUGCCCUUGACUUUGGGAUAACUUCAGGAAACUGGGGCUAAUACCGGAUAGGAGCUCCUGCUGCAUGGUGGGGGUUGGAAAGUUUCGGCGGUUGGGGAUGGACUCGCGGCUUAUCAGCUUGUUGGUGGGGUAGUGGCUUACCAAGGCUUUGACGGGUAGCCGGCCUGAGAGGGUGACCGGCCACAUUGGGACUGAGAUACGGCCCAGACUCCUACGGGAGGCAGCAGUGGGGAAUAUUGCACAAUGGGCGGAAGCCUGAUGCAGCAACGCCGCGUGCGGGAUGACGGCCUUCGGGUUGUAAACCGCUUUCGCCUGUGACGAAGCGUGAGUGACGGUAAUGGGUAAAGAAGCACCGGCUAACUACGUGCCAGCAGCCGCGGUGAUACGUAGGGUGCGAGCGUUGUCCGGAUUUAUUGGGCGUAAAGGGCUCGUAGGUGGUUGAUCGCGUCGGAAGUGUAAUCUUGGGGCUUAACCCUGAGCGUGCUUUCGAUACGGGUUGACUUGAGGAAGGUUGGGGAGAAUGGAAUUCCUGGUGGAGCGGUGGAAUGCGCAGAUAUCAGGAGGAACACCAGUGGCGAAGGCGGUUCUCUGGGCCUUUCCUGACGCUGAGGAGCGAAAGCGUGGGGAGCGAACAGGCUUAGAUACCCUGGUAGUCCACGCUGUAAACGGUGGGUACUAGGUGUGGGGUCCAUUCCACGGGUUCCGUGCCGUAGCUAGCGCUUUAGGUACCCCGCCUGGGGAGUACGGCCGCAAGGCUAAAACUCAAAGGAAUUGACGGGGCCCCGCACAAGCGGCGGAGCAUGCGGAUUAAUUCGAUGCAACGCGUAGAACCUUACCUGGGUUUGACAUGGAUCGGGAGUGCUCAGAGAUGGGUGUGCCUCUUUUGGGGUCGGUUCACAGGUGGUGCAUGCCUGUCGUCAGCUCGUGUCGUGAGAUGUUGGGUUAAGUCCCGCAACGAGCGCAACCCUUGUUCACUGUUGCCAGCACGUUAUGGUGGGGACUCAGUGGAGACCGCCGGGGUCAACUCGGAGGAAGGUGGGGAUGACGUCAAGUCAUCAUGCCCCUUAUGUCCAGGGCUUCACGCAUGCUACAAUGGCUGGUACAGAGAGUGGCGAGCCUGUGAGGGUGAGCGAAUCUCGGAAAGCCGGUCUCAGUUCGGAUUGGGGUCUGCAACUCGACCUCAUGAAGUCGGAGUCGCUAGUAAUCGCAGAUCAGCAACGCUGCGGUGAAUACGUUCCCGGGGCU
rnacentral:rRNA from 1 species